rnacentral:lncRNA from 1 species
GGAGAUGCUAAAUUUGAUCACUUGGUUAAGGUGGUGAAUGCAUGUGAUUUUGACCUGGAGAAGAUUAUUUUUAAAAAUAAAAGAGCCGGGCGCAGUGGCUCACGCCUGUAAUCCCAGCACUUUGGGAGGCCGAGGCGGGCAGAUCACAAGGUCAGGAGAUUGAGACCAUCCUGGCUAACACGAUACAACCUUUCAGUCAGCAUGAGUCCCAAGGGAAGAUGACUUGGAGCGGAGCCUCAGCGCAUCCACAAUGGUCGUAGGGCAUCAAUAUAUGAGGGAUAACGUGGUGAGGAAACAAGACCUGUAGAGAUUAAGGAACUUUAGACCUGAGUUUAACCAGCUUUGAGACCUGGGCCUGAGUCUGUCUAAGGCUGAGGCUCUUGCCUCAUGUUGGAAAACCAGCUACAUUGGAAAACCUCCUGCAUAUCCUCCACAGCAUUUGUGAUCUCUUCCCUGAGCUCACAGAAGCACCCAGCAAAUGCUUACAAAUGACUAACUGAAGGGCAAUGACUUGAGCACAGCUGCUGAAUAUGUGAAUGAAGAAAUGACUACAGCCAGUUCCUGACUUGCAACAGUUCCACUUACGAUUUUUUUUCCUUUACAAUGGUGCAAAAGCAGUAGGUAUUCUCUACACAUCUCAGCAUAUGGGGAUAUGUCUGAUAUCCCCAUCCUAAAUUGAAAAUACCAUAAGUCAAAGGUUCAAUAUUUUCGCCGGCCACACUGGCUCACGCCUGUAACCCCAGCACUUCGGGAGGCUGAGGCAGGUCACUUGAGCUUAGGAGUUUAAG